AAUGUACAUCACUGCAAAGCGCUUCAGGAUGUCCUGACUUGGAACUGUUCCAAAGGAGGCUGUGGAGAACCAGAGUCAUGCUCUGCACAAAAUUCUGCAGUUCAAUAAGAUGGGAAUUUGAUCCUGUACAGUGUGCUGCUUCAGAACAAGCUUAACUCUAGGAAGAAAGCAAGUUUCCCACACAAUGAGGAGCUCCAAAACCAGUAUUUGUACAUAAAUCACCAUCCCCAGAAUCUCCUUUUCAUUAAACGUUAAGGUCCUUAGCAAGGAGUGUUCUUUCAAUGUCUUUUAAGGCAAAGGCGAAGUGUGAAAUACCUGAGUUUACGGUAGUAUUGCUGCACUUUGUCAAGUGAAAUACUAUUAAUUUGCUGUGGAAGUUCUUCUAGAGGUGAGCCAGCCAGUUGUGAUUGCCCCUCUGUACUCUCCAGAGCUGAAAAAGACAACAUUUUACUAAACCUAUGAGUUUUCAUUUUAAUAAUUUAUUUAUAUCAUCUCACUGCCCAGCAAAUGACUGCUGGACCACAUCAAGGCUGAUUCUGUUACUGCAUAAAUUUAAUGCUUUUCCCAGUA